rnacentral:rRNA from 1 species
CAGAGGGUGCGAGCGUUAAUCGGAAUUACUGGGCGUAAAGCGCGCGUAGGCGGCUUUGCAAGUCGGGUGUGAAAUCCCUAGGCUUAACCUGGGAACUGCAUUCGAGACUGCAUUGCUAGAGUAUGGGAGAGGGAAGUGGAAUUUCCGGUGUAGCGGUGAAAUGCGUAGAUAUCGGAAGGAACAUCAGUGGCGAAAGCGACUUCCUGGACCAAUACUGACGCUCAUGUGCGAAAGCGUGGGGAGCAAACAGGAUUAGAUACCCUGCUAGUCCACGCCAUAAACGAUGACAACUGGAUGUCGGGAGGGUCUGCCUCUCGGUGUCGUAGCUAACGCGUUAAGUUGUCCGCCUGGGGAGUACGGCCGCAAGGUUG